rnacentral:rRNA from 1 species
GGGUCUUCAUGGCCCGACCUCCACCCUCUGUUGUUAAAACUACCUUGUUGCUUUGGCGGGACCGUCUCGGUCUCCGAGCGCACUAACCCUCGGGUUGGUGAGCGCCCGCCAGAGUCCAACCAAACUCUUGUAUUAAACCAGUCGUCUGAGUAUAAAAUUUUAAUUAAAUUAAAACUUUCAACAACGGAUCUCUUGGUUCUCGCAUCGAUGAAGAACGCAGCGAAAUGCGAUAAGUAAUGUGAAUUGCAGAAUUCAGUGAAUCAUCGAAUCUUUGAACGCACAUUGCGCCCCUUGGUAUUCCGAGGGGCAUGCCUGUUCGAGCGUCAUUACACCACUCAAGCAUCGCUUGGUAUUGGGAACGGUCCGUCGAAAGGCGGGCCUUCCUCGAAGACCUCGGCGGGGUUCAACCAACUUCGGGCGUAGUAGAGUUAAAUCGAACGUCUUAUAAGCUUGGUCGGAUCUCAUUGCCGUUAAACCUUUAAAUUUUCUAGGUUGACCUCGGAUCAGGUAGGGAUACCCGCUGAACUUAAGCAUAU